GAAACGACUGCUAAGACUGGAUAGGAAGUUUUAAGGCAUCUUGAAACUUUUAAAAGACCCGCAAGGGUAUGCUGAUAGAUGGGCUUGCGGCACAUUAGUUAGUUGGUAAGGUAACGGCUUACCAAGACCAUGAUGUGUAGCUGGACUGAGAGGUUGAACGGCCACAUUGGGACUGAGAUACGGCCCAAACUCCUACGGGAGGCAGCAGUAAGGAAUUUUCGGCAAUGGAGGAAACUCUGACCGAGCAACGCCGCGUGAACGAUGAAGUAUUUAGGUAUGUAAAGUUCUUUUAUUAAAGAAGAAAAAAUGAUGGAAAAAUCAUUCUGACGGUAUUUAAUGAAUAAGCCCCGGCUAACUAUGUGCCAGCAGCUGCGGUAAUACAUGGGGGGCAAGCGUUAUCCGGAUUUAUUGGGCGUAAAGGGUGCGUAGGCGGUUUAAUAAGUCUAUGGUCUAAGUUCAACGCUUAACGUUGUGAUGCUAUAGAAACUGUUUGACUAGAGUUGGAUAGAGGCAAGUGGAAUUCCAUGUGUAGCGGUAAAAUGCGUAAAGAUAUGGAGGAACACCAGUAGCGAAGGCGGCUUGCUGGGUCUUAACUGACGCUGAGGCACGAAAGCGUGGGGAGCAAACAGGAUUAGAUACCCUGGUAGUCCACGCCGUAAACGAUGAGUACUAAGUGUUGGGUUAAACCAGUGCUGAAGUUAACGCAUUAAGUACUCCGCCUGAGUAGUACGUACGCAAGUAUGAAACUUAAAGGAAUUGACGGGACUCCGCACAAGCGGUGGAUCAUGUUGUUUAAUUCGAAGAUACACGAAAAACCUUACCAGGUCUUGACAUACUCUGCAAAGCUAUAGAAAUAUAGUGGAGGUUAUCAGGGAUACAGGUGGUGCAUGGUUGUCGUCAGCUCGUGUCGUGAGAUGUUGGGUUAAGUCCCGCAACGAGCGCAACCCUUAUCGCUAGUUACCAUCAUUUAGUUGGGCACUUUAGUGAGACUGCCAAUGAUAAAUUGGAGGAAGGUGGGGAUUACGUCAAAUCAUCAUGCCCCUUAUGACCUGGGCUACAAACGUGAUACAAUGGCUGUUACAAAGAGUAGCUGAAGCGUGAGUUUUUAGCAAAUCUCAAAAAAACAGUCUCAGUUCGGAUUGAAGUCUGCAACUCGACUUCAUGAAGUCGGAAUCGCUAGUAAUCGCGAAUCAGCAUGUCGUGGUGAAUACGUUCACGGGGUUUGUACACACCGCCCGUCA
rnacentral:rRNA from 1 species